AUUUUUGUCGGCGCAGGUCACACGUGUUGCGCCUUUUAAACAAAUAAUUUUCAGUUUGUGCUGGAAAUUUUUAUUAAUUUAAUUUUUUAAAAUAAAAAUGGACGUAGAAAUACAAGAAGUGCAAAAAGUUGAUGAAAAGGCAACAGAAAUUGCUGCAAUUGAAGAAAAAGCAGAAGAAAUAAAAGAAACUAAGGAGAAAACAAGUAACAACAGCGAUGAAACAAAAGAUACCGAAGAGGAAGGAGGCAAUGACAAGGAAUUUGGCUAUUUGCAGCGCAAUGAAUUUACCUCAGAAAUUUACAAAAUUGAAGUGCGAAAUAUGGGCUACUUUGGCAUGGGGGAAUUUAAAAAAUUGAUCAAAAACAAACUCAAGUUGGACAUGGCCAAAGUGAAGUCUCCUUUGCGCAAAGAAUUUGCUUUUGUUUGUUUUCGCAGUCAGGAAGAUCAGGAGAAGGCUAUACAGCUUUUAAAUGGUUACAAAUGGAAAGGCAAGGUCUUGCAGGCCACGGUGGCUAAAGCUUCGGCGGAUCCCUUGCAAAGAAAACGUAAAGAAGAUGGCCAAUCGGAAGAAAAACGUGGCAGUGACAAUAAAAAACAACGCACCUCAGCCGAUGCCACUUGUCCUUUGGCUCAUUUAAGUUAUGAGGAACAAUUAAAAAAGAAAUACUAUGAAAUGGAGGAAUUAAUCAAAAAGUUUACCAAUGAUUUGAAAAAAAUCAAUCGGGAUGCCAAACCUCAUUUACAAAAUUUCAAAUAUGAAGGUGCCUUAGCCUCUCCUCAAAUAAAUGGUUAUCGCAAUAAGAAUGAAUUUACAGUGGGUAAAAAUAGUAAUGGUGAAAUUGUGGUAGGUUUUCGUUUAGGUAGUUAUGCUGACGGUUCAGUAGAAGUAGCGGAGGUAGAAUCAUUACCUCAUAUCCCUAAAGCAGCCAAAUGGGCUGCGAAAACUUUCCAAGAUUUUGUUAAGCAAUCCAAGUUCCAACCUUUCAAUCCAGAGGGAAAUUCUGGUCACUUUCGUCAAAUAAUGGUGCGCACUUCCAAGCUCACCAAUGAACUUAUGCUGGUGCCCGGUAUCUAUACUUCAAAUUUAACUGAGGACGAACUAAAACAAGUAAAAGAGGAAUUAAUCGCUUACUAUGAAAACUUGUCCUUUAAGGAUGAGGAGGAGGGCGUAGAAAAAGAGUACAAAUGCACUUCUUUGUACUAUCAAGAUGUUAAACAUCGUGAGGUGGGUCAAAUGGUUUCACCCGUCGAGCAUUUAUCGGGCACUACUCACAUAAGAGAUUCCAUACAAGAUUUGGAAUUUAGAAUAAGUCCUUUGGCUUUCUUUCAAAUUAACACUGCGAGUGCUAAUGUUUUAUAUCAAAAUGCUAUAGCUUUAGCGGCUCCAAAACCUCAUUCCACAGUUUUGGAUAUUUGCUGUGGUACGGGCACUAUAGCUUUGGCUUUUGCUAAACACUGUAAACAGGUGUUGGGCGUGGAAAUCAUACCCGAUGCCAUUAAGGAUGCUGAGUAUAAUGCUGAGAAGAAUGGUAUAACAAAUUGUAAAUUUUAUGCAGGAAAUGCUGAUGAUUAUAUACAAUCGAUGGUUAAGGAAGUGGUGUAUGGUACAGCACCAGGUGAACCGUUGGAUUUGGUAGCUGUCGUGGAUCCUCCCAGAGCAGGAUUGCACCAACGUUCCAUACUCGCUAUACGUGCCGCCUCGGCCAUUAAACGUUUAGUCUACAUUUCCUGUAAUCCCCACAGAGCUCAACGCAACUGGAUAGAAUUAGGUCGCCCAGAAUCAAAACAAUAUAAAGGAGAACCUUUUUAUCCUGUCACAGCGGUGGCGGUAGAUAUGUUCCCCCACACCACACACACCGAAAUGAUUGUUCUAUUUGAGAGAAAAACUCCCGAAGUAAAGGAUGAGAAAGUAGAAAAUGAAACAAAAAUAGAGGAGGAGAAAGUAGAAAAGCAAGAGGAACAAAAGGAUGAGGAGCAAAAGGAAUCUAGUGAGAAACCUGCUGCAGAGAAUAAAGAGGCAGAGAUUGCCAACUGAUUAGCAACUGACUAUAUAUAACAAAUUACUAACACAAACAACCAUGUAUUUGUUAUUUUAGAAUAUACAACACUAAAAAAAGGCAACAAAGUAUAAAGUGAAGCAGUUAAGAAUAUUUAAUUAAAUCUAUGAAAAAAUAGAGAUUUUAGUUAAAAGAAAAAGAAAAAAAAAUUGAACAUAUUUGGC